UACGGAGGGUGCAAGCGUUAUCCGGAUUCACUGGGUUUAAAGGGUGCGUAGGUGGGCAGGUAAGUCAGUGGUGAAAUCCUGUAGCUUAACUACAGAACUGCCAUUGAUACUAUCUGUCUUGAAUACCCUGGAGGUGAGCGGAAUAUGUCAUGUAGCGGUGAAAUGCUUAGAUAUGACAUAGAACACCCAUUGCGAAGGCAGCUCGCUACACGGUUAUUGACGCUGAGGCACGAAAGCGUGGGGAUCAAACAGG
rnacentral:rRNA from 1 species